rnacentral:rRNA from 1 species
AUUGAACGCUGGCGGCAUGCUUUACACAUGCAAGUCGAACGGUAACAGGCCUUCGGGUGCUGACGAGUGGAGAACGGGUGAGUAAUGCAUCGGAACGUACCCAGAGGUGGGGGAUAACGCAGCGAAAGCUGUGCUAAUACCGCAUGUGAUCUGAGGAUGAAAGCGGGGGACCGAGCAGCAAUGUUUGGCCUCGCGCCUUUGGAGCGGCCGAUGUCGGAUUAGCUAGUUGGUGGGGUAAAGGCCUACCAAGGCGACGAUCCGUAGCUGGUCUGAGAGGACGACCAGCCACACUGGGACUGAGACACGGCCCAGACUCCUACGGGAGGCAGCAGUGGGGAAUUUUGGACAAUGGGCGCAAGCCUGAUCCAGCAAUGCCGCGUGCGGGAAGAAGGCCUUCGGGUUGUAAACCGCUUUUGGCAGGAACGAAACGGUGUCCGCUAAUACCGGGCGCUAAUGACGGUACCUGCAGAAUAAGCACCGGCUAACUACGUG